CUGCAGAGGGGAAAGAAGGGUUUGCUUCGUGGGGGAGGCGAGCAAGUCUGCCUUGCGUCUGCUGAAGAGACAGAGGACACACGUGCUGGUGGCUGGGGACAGAGGGAUGCCUCGGAUGGAUGGACAGGGCUGCAGCAGGACAUCUCUUAGGUUGGAAAUGCAGCCCAGGGCACGCCGAGAGCACCGGCACCGCGGUGAUUUUCUUUGGGAGCCUUGCUGGAGCCAAGAGCAACUUGUUUAUUAAACUGGCAUCUCCAUAGAUUUUUGCACACUUCUCUGCCCCCUAAGUAUUAAUCAAACUAAUAACUUAAUUCCAGAUUUUAGUUUUCCCAGAGAGGAGGUGGGGGCUGAGUCUGUGGGCUGCACCCGGCUGGGAGAGAUGCUGGAGCAGAGCAAGGGCUCCCUGAAUUUGCAGUGGGAUCCAGCUGGAGCUGCAGGGAUGCAGGAGGAUCCGGAGAAAUCUCUGGUUUGGUUCUGGACCCAAAGAACUCUCCCAAAGCAGCCCCAUCCUCCC